GCACAAGCGGUGGAGCAUGUUGGUUUAAUUCGACGCAACGCGAAGAACCUUACCAGGGCUUGACAUCCCCUGACCGCGUAUGAAAGUACGUUUUCACCCUCGGGUGACAGGGAGACAGGUGGUGCAUGGUUGUCGUCAGCUCGUGUCGUGAGAUGUUGGGUUAAGUCCCGCAACGAGCGCAACCCCUACGUUUAGUUGCUAACGCGUGAAGGCGAGCACUCUAGACGAACUGCCGUUGACAAACGGAGGAAGGUGGGGAUGACGUCAAAUCAUCAUGCCCCUUAUGUUCUGGGCUACACACGUGCUACAAUGGCUGGUACAGACGGACGCAAAGCCGCGAGGUGGAGCAAAUCCUAAAAAGCCGGUCUCAGUUCGGAUUGCAGGCUGCAAUUCGCCUGCAUGAAGUCGGAAUCGCUAGUAAUCGCAGGUCAGCAUACUGCGGUGAAUACGUUCCCGGGCCUU
rnacentral:rRNA from 1 species